rnacentral:rRNA from 1 species
AUUGAACGCUGGCGGCAUGCCUUACACAUGCAAGUCGAACGGCAGCACGGGUGCUUGCACCUGGUGGCGAGUGGCGAACGGGUGAGUAAUACAUAGGAACGUACCUUAUCGUGGGGGAUAACGCAGCGAAAGCUGUGCUAAUACCGCAUACGCCCUGAGGGGGAAAGCGGGGGAUCGCAAGACCUCGCGCGAUUAGAGCGGCCGAUGCCUGAUUAGCUUGUUGGUGGGGUAAAAGCCCACCAAGGCGAUGAUCAGUAGCUGGUCUGAGAGGACGAUCAGCCACACUGGGACUGAGACACGGCCCAGACUCCUACGGGAGGCAGCAGUGGGGAAUUUUGGACAAUGGGGGCAACCCUGAGCCAGCAAUGCCGCGUGAGUGAAGAAGGCCUUCGGGUUGUAAAGCUCUUUUGUCAGGGAAGAAACACCGGCUCUAACACAGUCCGGGAAUGACGGUACCUGAAGAAUAAGCACCGGCUAACUACGUGCCAGCAGCCGCGGUAA